rnacentral:rRNA from 1 species
GACGAACGCUGGCGGCGUGCUUAACACAUGCAAGUCGAACGGAAAGGCCCUGCUUUUGUGGGGUGCUCGAGUGGCGAACGGGUGAGUAACACGUGAGUAACCUGCACUUGACUUUGGGAUAACUUCAGGAAACUGGGGCUAAUACCGGAUAGGAGCUCCUGCUGCAUGGUGGGGGUUGGAAAGUUUCGGCGGUUGGGGAUGGACUCGCGGCUUAUCAGCUUGUUGGUGGGGUAGUGGCUUACCAAGGCCUUGACGGGUAGCCGGCCUGAGAGGGUGACCGGCCACAUUGCGACUGAGCUACGGCCCAGACUCCUACGGGAGGCAGCAGUGGAGAGUAUUGCACAGUGGGCGGAAGCCUGAUGCAGCCCCGCCGCGUGCGGGAUGACGUCCUUCGGGUUGUAUACCGCUUUCGCCUGUGACGAAGCGUGAGUGACGGUAAUGGGUAAAGAAGCACCGGCUAACUACGUG